rnacentral:lncRNA from 1 species
CCAGCUCCAGGGCUGGGGCCAGAUUUCUUGAUUCCACCUAGGGUUAAAGCAUGCCCAUCUCCACCAUGGCUCGGCCCCCCGGUUUUCACCCCCUCGACGUACAAAUCCUCCAAAAUUUUCACAAUAUCCAUUUCAAUGGCGGACUUGUGAUUUUGCUGAUAAUUAGCAUCCGAUUUCAAUACACGAGCUUCAACAGAGAAGAAUAAACA